AACAACUUUAUUCAUUUUUACCCUUUAAUCAUCUUGUGAACCCCUCAGAUUUAUGUUGGGACCCCUUAAUGGGGUCCAGACCCCCAGGUUGAGAACCACAGGUUCCUGCCUGCAGGAGGCAGAAGAUCACACUAACAGCUGCUUCUAGUGGGGAAUCUGCAGCCAGCUGAAGUGUGUUAUCCUGACCUCUUCACCUCCUUGCGGUUGUGCAGCAGCAGCUCCUGGUUGUGCUGGAGGAGGUGGUGGUACUGAGCCGUGAAGGACCUGAACUGUUGGAUGCACACCAGCAGCAGCAGCAGGUACUCAGGGAUCCUCUGAACCGGCUGGAGGAGCAGAGUGUGGAGGGAGGGUUUGGAUUCGUCACCCAUU